UGUGCAUGGGCGAGUGGCAGGGCCAGCAGGUGCUGGGCAUGCGCCUUACCUGGAACAAGCGCUAUAUUACGCUGGCCCCGAUUGCCACUGUGCUGGGCCUGGCGUUUAAACUUUCCGAUCCCGACCAUCUGCUGGGCGACAAAGACGAACUGGGCAUUACCUGCGCCCUGAUCCCCACCAGCACACCGGGCGUGGAAAUCGGCCAUCGCCAUUUCCCGCUUAACGUACCGUUCCAGAAUGGCCCAACCCGCGGUAAAGAUAUUUUCGUGCCGAUCGAUUUCAUUAUCGGUGGCCCGGAAAUGGCCGGACAGGGCUGGCGGAUGCUGGUGGAAUGUCUGUCGGUGGGCCGUGGAAUCACCCUGCCGUCUAACUCAACCGGCAGCCUGAAAAGCGUAGCGCUGGCCACUGGCGCUUAUGCGCAUAUCCGCCGUCAGUUCAAACUGUCUAUCGGUAAAAUGGAAGGGAUUGAAGAACCUCUGGCGCGCAUUGCCGGUAAUGCCUACGUGAUGGACGCUGCCGCGACGCUGAUUACCACCGGCAUUAUGCAGGGCGAGAAACCUGCGGUGCUGUCUGCGAUUGUGAAAUAUCACUGUACCCACCGCGCCCAACAGUCAAUUAUCGAUGCAAUGGAUAUUGCCGGGGGUAAAGGUAUCAUGCUGGGCGACAGCAACUUCCUGGCCCGGGGCUUAUCAGGGCGCGCCUAUCGCCAUUACCGUGGAAGGCGCGAAUAUCCUGACCCGCAGUAUGAUCAUCUUUGGCCAGGGUGCUAUCCGCUGCCAUCCGUAUGUGUUGCAGGAAAUGGCGGCCGCCGCCAGCAAUGAUGUGGCGGGCUUUGAUAAGGCGCUGUUUAGCCAUAUUGGCCACGUUGGCAGCAAUGCGAUGCGCAGCCUGUGGCUGGGCCUUCUGGGCGGACGCACCAGCGCCGCGCCAACGCGUGAUGCCACCCGUCGCUAUUAUCAGCACCUGAACCGUAUCAGUGCCAAUCUGGCGUUACUGUCGGACGUGUCCAUGGCGGUGUUAGGCGGUAGCCUGAAACGUCGCGAACGUAUGUCAGCCCGCCUGGGCGAUGUACUGAGCCAGGAUCAAA
rnacentral:rRNA from 1 species